GCCUCCAUAGCUCAGCGGUUAGAGCACUGGUCUUGUAAACCAGGGGUCGUGAGUUCGAUUCUCACUGGGGGCU
rnacentral:tRNA from 1 species